AAAAAGUCAACACCUCAUACAGAAGCAUUUGGUUGCCAGAGCUAUUCACAAGAGUGGAAGCCUAUGGGCGGGCUGCAGAUGGCAGCUGCACUCACCUUUCCUUCUCAGCUUGCAAGGCUUCUUGCACCAGCCACUAAACAUCUCCCCCUCACACAGACCCCAAACAUCGUACCUCCACCAGCUGCACCUUAAGGACUACACCCUUUUCAAUCAUGAUGUCAUAAAACACUGCUGGUAACUCCCAGCUUCCUCCUCUUUUCACUGUCUGCUAUGUGCCACUCAAUGUGAUUGAAUUCUAUUUUUUUAAAAAAAGGAAAACAAUGAAAGUGGUGCCCCGAAUCAACACAAAAUUCACCAGCAGACGAGCAUCUUCUCUCCCCCCCCUUCCAGUCAAUCAGCCCCUCCCCGCACGCACUUUGACUGGCAUCAGAACACCACCCCUUUCCAGGAGUGAUCCACACAAAGCAACCUGGGCUUGUUAAAACAAGAUUUAAUUUGCCCCCCCCCAAAAAAAAACACCCAAAACAAACCAGACGGAGCGACAGAGAGAAACCACCUUACAGUCAUGCAAGCUACCCAUCAGCCAAAGACAUGGAAACGACCAGGGAGCCUAGGCUCUCCUAGCUCCAUCAUCUCCGCAAGUGCUUGCUACCUUCUCUCUGGGGUGGCUGCUGCAAAAGAACCAACCUGUCUGUCCUUUGCCCAGGGUUUUCUCCAAACGACAAGAUAAGGCUACAGAAAUUAAAGUCUGUCCUGGAUGACAUCCCUUUCCUGAAGAUAAUAUUUCAGUGCUUGGAUCAGUGUUUCUUGCUAAAGAAAGGAAGGAAGGAAGAAGUCCUCAGCAGAUGUAUAAAGAACAAGAAAUUAUUGUUACAUACAGCACUGAUGUUACCUGUCUGUCAUGGGUUGGAGGGAAAGUUCCAUCCUAUGGGGAGUGGAAGGCGGGACAUCAGGAGGAGGGGCUGUACUGUAUAUAUAUGUGGAGUUUGUGAGGAGAAGCAGAAGAAGAAGCUGGGAGAAGCUGGAGGAGAAGCUGGGAAGAAGAAGCUGGUGUGGGAGUCUGUGUGUCAGACAGGGUACUACUGUGUGUCAGUCAGUACCAACCUGAUAGGUUCAGGUGUCUUUAUGGGUAGCCAGAACUGAUAGGUUCAGGGUCUGUGCUCUAUUGAAAGGUGUUCUGUGUGAACCCAACUGGUGUAUGUAUGAUUGAGACUAAGCCACGUUACUGUAUCUUAUUCACUUGAUCAUUUUAUUUUCCCUGUGUGUUAUGUAAAUAAACCUUGUUCUUUUAUUUGUUUAAAAAUCCA
rnacentral:lncRNA from 1 species